rnacentral:misc_RNA from 1 species
UUUCCGUAGGUCGCUAGAGUUCAGCCUACCAAAGCAAACCUUUCAAAACUGCUAGUCUCUCCCCGAGGCGACACGCUCAAUGUUGCGGAGAGGCCCUCUUUUCAGAGGGUAAUCCGCAGCCGGCCCCCUAAAGGCUGGUUCAGAGACUCAAUGAGUGUGGGUUUGGCCUUUUGGCCAGGCUUAAGAUAGAGCCCGUCCCUGUAGGCAACUGCGGGGGAUGAACGGAACCUGCGGAAGGAUCAUUAAAGAAUCGGUGACCCUCGCGGUCCCAUUCUCACCCUUUGUAUACCAAACUUCAGUUGCUUUGGCUGGCCUUCGCGGGCCGGCCAGAGGACUCAAGCCCUUGAAUCUUUGCUGUCUGAGUACUAUAUAAUAGUUAAAACUUUCAACAACGGAUCUCUUGGUUCUG